GUUUGUUCUUUAAAAUGUUUUUUUUUUAAUAUCUAAAAGAAAUAUUAACUUGAAUGCACUUACAAUGCAAUUUUUCAUACAACUGAUAUUUUAUGACGAUUAUAACUCUUCAAAAUAGUUGAUUUUAGCAAUAGGUCCCAUGAUGGAUAAACAUGUCCCUUGAUAAGAAUGUAGUUAAUAAAUUUAAUAGAGACUUUAAAAGAUCUGCCAAUAGCACAAUAAUUUUAAGGUUUCCUUAGCAUGGUCUUUUAAACUGAGUUUUGCCAUUUAGUAAAUAUCAGCUGUGGUGACGUCAUUUAUCCAAUAUACUCACUCCCAUUUAAGUUAUAAAUACUUGUUGUGUAAUGCAAUGUAAAAUUCCAUCCAAAUAUUUGUAUAUUUUUGUACAAUGUAUGAUAUUUGAUAAAUUUUGUGUAUGGUUUCUAGAUGUGAUCAUUUUUAAACAUCAUUUUUGUACAUUUAAACAUGUUCCAAAUAUAGCUGGAUUUCACAAACAAAUUAUUGAAUAGGUUGAAAAUUGGAACAUUAGAAUAUAAAUAUUAAACAUUUUUGAACUUUGAAAAAGGCAGAUAUAAUUGUAUACAUACACCUUAUUAUACUACUGGACAUCACAAUGUCCCUGUUAAAUUUUAACAUCAACAGAAAAAAAUAUUUGAUGCCACACCUCAAAAUUCAUUGUAGCAUGACAUCAAUAAUUCAAGUGUCAAAUAUAGUCAUAAAAAAUGGACAUAUUCAUAGUAAGGGCUAUUCCAUUAAAAUGUAUGAGGGAGGGUAGGAAGGGACUUUCAAAAAUAUCCCUACAACCAAGAACCAUUUUUUAGAUAAUUUUGCAUAAUGGUAAUAUACAUAUACUGAAAAAAAGACCCAUGACCCAUAUUCAAUAAUGAAAGUUCCCUUCCUACCUUCCCGCUUACAUUUUAAUGAAAUAACCCUAAUUUUAUCUGUCCAGAGUUUUUUGUUAACACAGUGUUAUAUAUUGUUCAUGUCUCAUCUUGUUAAAGAUUUCAACUACUCAUUUGUGUCAUAAUUGUUUGUAAAUUAUAUGUUCAUUAAUGUACAUUGUUUUUACUCAUUAGUUUGUUAUAUGCCAUGUUUUACCAAGAAGUGCUUACUAUAUUGUUUAUAUGUAGUUUUUGUACGCUAAAAAAUGUAUAAAUGGACAUAUUCUUGCCAAAUGGUACAAUACAGUUUAAAAAUUUAGCUUUUGUUAUAGAGGUUUUUUAUUCCACAGUGUGAAAUCUAAUUUAAGGAAUGACUGUAAUAUUUUUUCUGUCUAUGAAGUAAUAACAUAAAAAAUUUUGGUGCACACUGAAUAAUGCGCGUAGCGGGUUAUUUAACAGUGUGCACCACAUUUUUUAUGUUAUUUCAAAUUUUUUAAGUCUUUGUACAUUGAAAAAUUUCAAAUUUUUUUUCCCAAUACAAGUACAGCAUUGAGGUAGAGUCUGAAUGUGAGCACAUCAGAUUUUGUGGAGAUCCAUAUCAAGCCAAACAAGUAUAGUUGUGUUGGAAUUUGAAGAUUCCUAAAGAUUACUGUACAUAUCUAUAAUGAUCUUAUGUGUGAUACUUUACAAUUCAGUUUUAGAAUCGACCUAGAGCAUUAGAGGAAGGCAUCCUUAGAUUUUUUUUAAAAGGCAUUCUGGGAGUAAUUUUUAAAAGCAUUCUUAAAUAAUAUGUGAUAGGUUUACACAUAAUGGAAACUUUUGUCUGGAGCAUAAAAAAAUGUGGGUUAAAUAGGUGUAAUUUGGCACCCUCACGUCAGCUAUAUAGUCUUUAGGAUUUAAAACAGUAUGAAUUUUACAUGCGUACUGUAUCAAUGAAUUUAUUCAUAUUAAAUGUCUUUUUGACAACCAAUCAAAAAAAGGAUUUUCUCUUCGUUUUAGUCUCCAAAUUUAGAACUUGGUAAAUGAUAGAAAGUUUGUAUUAUAUUGAUUCACCAU
rnacentral:lncRNA from 1 species